rnacentral:rRNA from 1 species
ACGUAGGGGGCAAGCGUUGCUCGGAAUUACUGGGCGUAAAGGGUGUGUAGGUGGCUGAUUAAGUUAAGGAUGAAAUCCCGAGGCUCAACUUCGGAACUGUCCUUGAUACUGGUCAGCUUGAGGCUAGGAAAGGAGAGCGGAAUUCCCGGUGUAGCGGUGAAAUGCGUAGAUACCGGGAGGAACACCAGUGGCGAAGGCGUCUCUCUAGGCUGGUUCCGACAGUGAGGCACGAAAGCUAGGGGAGCAAACGG